CAAGUCGCACGAGAAAGUGGAGCAAUCCAUGAGUACAGUGGCGUACGGGUGAGUAACACGUGGAUCAUCUACCUUCUAGUGGGGAAUACCUCCGGGAAACUGGAGACAAUACCGCAUAAGCUCGUAAGAGGAAAGCAGCAAUGCGCUGGAAGAGGAGUCCGCGGCUGAUUAGCUAGUUGGCGGGGUAACGGCCCACCAAGGCGAAGAUCGGUAGCCGGCCUGAGAGGGCACACGGCCACACUGGCACUGAAACACGGGCCAGACUCCUACGGGAGGCAGCAGUGGGGAAUCUUGCACAAUGGAGGAAACUCUGAUGCAGCGACGCCGCGUGAGCGAUGAAGCCCUUCGGGGUGUAAAGCUCUUUCGACGGGAACGAUAAUGACGGUACCCGAAGAAGAAGCUGCGGCUAACUACGUGCCAGCAGCCGCGGUAAUACGUAGGCAGCAAGCGUUGUUCGGAAUUACUGGGCGUAAAGAGUGUGUAGGCGGUGUUCCAAGUCUGUUGUGAAAUCUCCCGGCUUAACUGGGAGGGUGCGGCGGAAACUGGGAUGCUAGAGGAUGGGAGAGGUAAGCGGAAUUCCUGGUGUAGCGGUGAAAUGCGUAGAUAUCAGGAGGAACACCUGUGGUGUAGACAGCUUACUGGACCAUUUCUGACGCUGAGACACGAAAGCGUGGGUAGCAAACAGGAUUAGAUACCCUGGUAGUCCACGCCCUAAACGAUGCAUACUUGGUGUGUGCGAUUCAUUUCGUUCGUGCCGGAGCUAACGCGUUAAGUAUGCCGCCUGGGGAGUACGGUCGCAAGGCUGAAACUCAAAGGAAUU
rnacentral:rRNA from 1 species